CUCACUGUUGAAAGGAACGUGGCUGGAACCCGCCGUAUAAGACGCAUAAUAUCGAAAUACUACCGCAGAACACCCAUACAAACUACCACAUACUACGCCGUCACGAUACAUGCGGUCACCAAAGGGCCAAAAGUGGGCAAAAGCACGAAAGCAUGGUCGUUUUCGGUGCCCCCAGGAGGCGCUUCCACUGCCCCAUGGGCAUUCCGUGCUGUUGCUCCCUGUUGCUGUGCGUGCGCGCUGCAUCAAGGCAGGUCGAUGUGGAUGUUUAAUCGUCUGUACGCUGUGCCGAAAGAAAAUGUCGUGCCCCUUGUGUGCUUUGAUGAUCACCUAACCCCUGGGACCGCGUAACGUAGCUCGCAGUACCUUUCGCGUGGUUCGCCGAUGUCGAUUAUCGUAGUUAUGGCCCGCUUGCGCUUUCUUUGUUCCCGGCCUCUGAUAAUAUCGCAUGGAUCACAGUGCACGGAAGAAUUUGUUGAGCUAUUACGUGCUGUAGUUCAUCCGCAAUUCAACAGUGUUUACGUCGGAAGGAUCGUCGUGCAGUCGACGCCGCGACCUGACAUGAAGGAGCGUUUGCCGACUACGCCUGGAAAGGGAUGUCAAGAUUUCGUGAACCAGAGGCAUCUCUACAUCGCAUAGGAACCUAAGACAUAUCUGCAGCCGGAACAGCACGGCAAAGCAUCUGAUCUGCAUGCUGCGACAAGGUAUGGCUGGGCCUGGUGAUGAAGUGUAAGCAGAACAUGCUAUGCUGCGAAUUGGUGCCAAUCUUCACAUCCGAGUUGUUCCCACGACAGUCAAGCACCAGUGUGAUUUGCUUCAUUGGCAAGGUAAUAUACUAUGGUGAGCUUGCACCUCAAUAUUGGUAUUGAAAAAUAUGUCAAGUAAAAGACACAAGAGUUGGCCUUUAUGACAGA